GUGCACGGACGCGCGCACGCAAAAGCACAAUGGCCACGACGGCGGUGGCUGCUGCUGGCUUUCUUCCAUCCCUGUCAUUCGGGGUGCCUCCGAUCGGCAUCGGCACCUACGAACUUCGUGGGGACGCCUGCGUGAGCGCCGUGCGGGCCGCUCUCCAGAUGGGCUACCGUCUGAUCGACACCGCCGCGGCGUACCGCAACGAGGAGCUCGUGGGUGAAGGCAUCAUCAGCAGCGGCGUUCCGCGAGCGGACCUAUUCAUUGUGGUGAAGAUCGCGAUGAAGAGCAUGGGUACUGACGAAGCGGUGCGGCAGGGAAUCCUCGACAGCAUCCGCAAGCUACGCAUCGACUACGCCGACUGCGUGCUGAUGCACUGGCCGGGGUGCGGCGGGCUAAAGCCGCAAGACGCAUCAGGUCAUCAAGCGGCCCGCGCGCGGUGCUGGCGCAUCAUGCACGAGCUGCAGGCUCUGGGCAAAGUGCGUUACUGUGGUGUGUCGAACUUUCUGCCGCGGCACUUCAAGGAGCUGAACUGCUUCCACGACGGCGACGGUGGGCGUAGUGAGGAUGAGGCCGUCGCUGCUGCGGCGCAACCGCAUGCUUCCAUCAAGGGCGAAAGGAACGCAGACGUUGUGGCGCACAGGCAUUGCAGCAACACGAGCAGUGCCUCCUCACCCUCGUCUUCCGAGGCAUGGCCGGCUUCUGCAUCGUCGCAUCUGCUUUCACCGCCCAUCCUGAAUCAGAUUGAGCUGCACCCUCUCUGCAUUCAGCGUGACGUCGAAACGUACUGUCGCCGGCGCCACGGUAUGCUGCUGCAGCAGUACUCCCCACUUGGCAAGGGGGACGCGCGUCUCUUGCAGCACCCGCGACUGCUUGAGGUGCACGCGCGGUACUUUUCGAACCAGAGCGAUGGAAAUCAUGUGCCAGCACCACCGCAGGCGGCGUCACCUGAGGCCGUCAAGCCGUACUCUUUGGAGGACAUGAUACUCAUGUGGGGCUUCGCACAGGGCUACUGCACGCUGGUGCGGAGCCACAGGCCUGACCACCUCCGCGCCAACUUGGAUGCCGCUCGCGACUAUUUCGCAUCUGUGGAAGCAGUCGCGAAAGGAGCGGGCAACGGCGGCGGCGGCGGCGAAGCAUCCCAGACUUCGGCUGGCACGGCACGCGCGCUACUGACAGCGGAGCAGCUUAAUGUUAUUCGACAUCUCCGUGCGCACAUUGGCGUGGAGGGCAAUCAAGACAUGCAUCUAUGCUGGUACAGCUCUCAAAUCGCUUAAUGUGUUGCCCUCUCGGGGCGUCGCGGCUCAGUGGCGCUCACAUGAGGCAUUGAGCGGGAUGGAGUUGGUAGCGUCGGGUUUGCACCUUGUCCCUACCGUUGCCGCUGUAUAUUCCUAGCCCUCCCCUUCCCCACCUUCGUGAUCGCUCUAUCCAGUGCUGGCUCUGCUGAGCUCUCGAUGGCACGCACACGCACAAAAACGCCAUCGCGCACCCUGAAAAGCAUGCGCAAGUCAUGCCGGGCUGAUUCUCCGCUCGGCUCCGCGUGCAUCCGGUCUCAAUUUGCCUCAGGCGCGUUCAUCAGUCACUCUCACGUACUUCAUCGUGCCGCCCUACCAGCGUGCUCGCCGGCGGUCCUUCCCUCUUUGACAUACUGGCGCUGCAACGGUGAGGCAGGGCCCCCCACGCUUCCUCUUGCCACGGCUCUCGAACCCUCCCUCCUGCCUCUCUUCACGCGAUUUCUUUCUCCUUCCGCAUGCAUGCGGCGCUCUGCCGCAAUCGAGGCAAG
rnacentral:misc_RNA from 1 species